GAAAAAUUUACUUUUUCUACUACCAUGAGAACUGUGGUUUUGCAGAUCUGGGAUUGUCGCUUGUUGGAGAAGCUGAAAUAUCUUUUUCACAAGUAAAGUGGCAGUGAAGCAAUGGAAACUGAUGAUCUCCUGCAGCUGAAAUCAGCAUAUCUUCUGAGAGAUUGCAAGCAUUAAGUGCAACACUUGGUAGGCAUAGAAACUUAUAACACGUGGAACAAAUUCUAGUUGCCGAUAUGGAGAGUGUUGUCAACAAUGGGUGACUGUACCUUACUCAAAGGCGGAGAUAGA